rnacentral:rRNA from 1 species
UACGUGGGGUGCGAGCGUUAAUCGGAAUUACUGGGCGUAAAGCGUGCGCAGGCGGUUCGUUAAGUCAGAUGUGAAAGCCCCGGGCUCAACCUGGGAACUGCAUUUGAAACUGGCGGGCUUGAGUGCGGCAGAGGGGGGUGGAAUUCCGCGUGUAGCAGUGAAAUGCGUAGAGAUGCGGAGGAACACCGAUGGCGAAGGCAGUCCCCUGGGCCUGUACUGACGCUCAUGCACGAAAGCGUGGGGAGCAAACAGG